CCUACGGGCGGCAGCAGUGGGGAAUAUUGGGCAAUGGAGGCAACUCUGACCCAGCAACGCCGCGUGAGUGAUGAAGGUCUUCGGAUUGUAAAACUCUUUAAGUGGGGACGAAGAAAGUGACUGUACCCACCGAAUAAGCCUCGGCUAACUACGUGCCAGCAGCCGCGGUAAUACGUAGGAGGCAAGCGUUAUCAGGAAUGACUGUGCGUAAAGGGCGCGUAGGUGGUGAGUUAAGUGAGGUGUGAAAUUCCGGGGCUUAACCUGGGAAUUGCAAUUCAGUAUGGUGGGCUAGAGUACUGGAGGGAGGGGUAGAAUACCACGUGUAGCGGUGGAAUGCGUAGAGAUGUGGAGGAAUACCGAAGGCGAAGGAAGACCAUUGGGAAUGUACGGACGCUCAUGUGCGAAAGCGUGGGGAGCAAACAGGAUUAGAUACCCCUGUAGUC
rnacentral:rRNA from 1 species